AUUGGACGCUGGCGACAUGCCUUACACAUGCAAGUCGAACGGCAGCACGGGAGCAAUCCUGGUGGCGAGUGGCGAACGGGUGAGUAAAGUAUCGGAACGUGCCCAGUCGUGGGGGAUAACGUAGCGAAAGUUACGCUAAUACCGCAUACGAUCUAUGGAUGAAAGCGGGGGAUCGCAAGACCUCGCGCGAUUGGAGCGGCCGAUAUCAGAUGAGGUAGUUGGUGGGGUAAAGGCUCACCAAGCCGACGAUCUGUAGCUGGUCUGAGAGGACGACCAGCCACACUGGGACUGAGACACGGCCCAGACCCCUACGGGAGGCAGCAGUGGGGAAUUUUGGACAAUGGGCGAAAGCCUGAUCCAGCCAUGCCGCGUGCAGGAUGAAGGCCUUCGGGUUGUAAACUGCUUUUGUACAGGACGAAAAGGUUUGGCCUAAUAAGCUGAGCUCAUGACGGUACCGUAAGAAUAAGCACCGGCUAACUACGUGCCAUCCGCCGCAGUAA
rnacentral:rRNA from 1 species